rnacentral:lncRNA from 1 species
UCCAUAAGGAGUCCAUGUUAUGUCUUUGCCACCAUAUGUAGCUUCUCUACCGGCAGCAGUUACAUCUCUGUUAGCAAAUAUGGUAUCUUGAUCCUUAAGCACCUCGCGAGCUAUCGCAGGAGAAGUAAUAACAAUACCAACUUUUCUACCAAGCCAGAGUGAACAAAUGGGGCCAUAAGUUUUGGAUAGAGAUGCAAAAUAUAUGUGGAGUUCAGGAUCAAGAGAAUGGAGAUUGCCUAUCAAAGGCAAAGGUUUAGGUCCUGGUGGCAAUGGUGGUGGUUGUCCAUUUUUUGACUUGUUGAUGAGAAGCC